rnacentral:rRNA from 1 species
UACGUAGGGCGCAAGCGUUGUCCGGAAUUAUUGGGCGUAAAGAGCUCGUAGGCGGUUUGUUACGUCCGCUGUGAAAACCCAGGGCUUAACCCUGGGCUUGCAGUGGAUACGGGCAGACUAGAGGCAGGUAGGGGAGAAUGGAAUUCCCGGUGUAGCGGUGAAAUGCGCAGAUAUCGGGAAGAACACCCGGUGGCGAAGGCGGUCACUCGGACG